AUUGAACGCUGGCGGCAGGCCUAACACAUGCAAGUCGAACGGUAACAGGAAGCAGCUUGCUGCUUUGCUGACGAGUGGCGGACGGGUGAGUAAUGUCUGGGAAACUGCCUGAUGGAGGGGGAUAACUACUGGAAACGGUAGCUAAUACCGCAUAAUGUCGCAAGACCAAAGAGGGGGACCUUCGGGCCUCUUGCCAUCGGAUGUGCCCAGAUGGGAUUAGCUAGUAGGUGGGGUAAAGGCUCACCUAGGCGACGAUCCCUAGCUGGUCUGAGAGGAUGACCAGCCAGACUGGAACUGAGACACGGUCCAGACUCCUACGGGGGGAAGCAGUGGAGAAUAUUGCACGAUGGGGGAAUGCCUGAUGCAGCAAUGCCGCGUGUAUGAAGAAGCACUUCGGGUUGUAAAAUACUUUCAGCGUGGAGGAAGUAAGUAAAGUUAAUACCUGUGCUCAUUGACGUUACCCGCCGAAGAAGCACCGGCUAACUCCGUG
rnacentral:rRNA from 1 species